rnacentral:ribozyme from 1 species
CUUCUGUCCGUCAAAAUGAAGCACCUAGGGUUCAAAGGUGUGGGUUUGACGAGAAGAAUGUCCGGUGAAACACAGCCUGGGAUUAACCUCCCCAGACUGGGAUAUUACCCGGA